GAGAACAACAGCUGGCAGCAACUGGGAGCUAUUACUGGGGAGUGGGUGGAGCCCUGAUCCCAGUGGCUUUGUGGCUACAGGUAGCAGGGUCAGGGUCACAAAGGCAGUGCAUGGCAGGGGGCUGGGACUCACACCUUGUCUUGCCCACUGACUCAGCCUUGUUGAGAAUGCCUGGAUAGGGACGGGGAAUGAUCUGUGGCCACUUCAGCUGGUCUUGCCCAGCUGUAAAAGAGUCAUCUUGUUCCCAGAUGAAGCAGGAGGUGGUGACCACAUGCUAGCCUGGUUGUAUGAGCAUAGAGCUACCACUAUGCAAGAUUUCUGUGUCCAGAGAUCUGCACAGGUGCAGUCAGACACCAACCUGCAGAUGACCAUCAACACAGAAGCAGUGUGACAUCUCAUGGCACUCUGAUGAGGCCAUAAAGCUUGGGAUGACAGAGGGCUCAGCCAGGUUACACCCGCAGUCUGCCUCCUGGAGAAGAAACUGAGUCUAAUGCAGACCACAUGCCACCAGAAGGACAUCACUGCGGUAUUCCUGGUAGAGAACAUGUUAUCUCUGGUAACUGCCACAUAAAAGCCAUUAGAGGGAAAGCACAUUUCCUUGUGGCCAUGUACCUUGACCUCUGAUUCAAAUCCACCAUGGGUUCCUCCCUCUCCCCUCCCGCCCCCCGCCCCGGAGCUAGGGAGGCAGACCUCAGCCAAUUACAGCAUCGGCUGACAGAUCUGGGGGCUGAAGUAUGGGCACCCAGCAUUCCCAGAGAUGGGGAAACCAGAGUAUUGCCAACACAGCAGCAGAAGCAAAACGUCCUUGCUGGUGGUGUCAGGGACACUCUUGAGGACUAUGGACUUGUCCCUUGUGCUUCUGAGGAGCCUGCUGCUGUGAAUACAUAGCGGAUGGGUGCGGGAUACGCCAUGAUCCCAUGCUGAUGGCUGCACCUCCAUUUGUCUGCUCCACUGGCAGUUGAGGAGGCAUAGGUCUGGCCAGCGCUGUAUCAGCUGGAAGUGAACCACCCAUCACGUACAGCUAGCAGUGUCUGCUCAGAGCCCUGUGCAGCACAGCCAGAGCAAGAGUGGCUGACAGGUACACCUGACCAAGUACACUGUGCCUGAGCAAGUGGCUAUCAGCUGCCUUCCUGCUGAACAGCAGCCCAUGGGUGAGGAAGAAGAGGAAUGCAUGUAGGGGGUACGUCAGAACCAGCUGGCUGAAUCUACCACCUGUGCCCUCCAUACUCUGCUGCCUACAGAGGAACCAGCAUGCAGGCUAAAAUUGUUCCCGUCAAUGAGCGACUGCGGAUUCAGUCAGUCAAAGGUAUCAGACUUUUCAUUGUUUCAAUGAGGAACCAAAGACAGAGAGCAGGGCCGUGGUCAGCAAUCUUCUCACCACUUGUCUGCCUUCCUGGAGCACCAGGCCAUGCACUGCAUCAGUAAAAAGAACAGGAGUACUUGAGGCAUCUUAGAGACUAACUAAUUUAUUUGAGAGCUUGCAUCAGUGAUUUUCAACCUGUGGUCAGCAGAUCCCAGAGUCCACAGACAAUGUCUAAGAUUUACAAAGGGGUCCACAGCUGCCUUUGAAAUUUUUUAGGGGUCUGCAAAUGAAAAAAGGUUGCAAACCACUGCACUAUAUCAAACACCUGCGCAUGGGGGCGCUCUGCCUCUCACCCUUCUCCCUCUGUCUGUAGGGGUGGAACUACUUGCUGCUGUUGGGUUCUCUUUUGGAACAGUGGGAGUUGCCAAGGGAACCUUCAAAUUCCAUACUUAGCAGCACACAUGUGGCUGUGGUCAUGGUUCAUUCAUUGUUUGCUGUGUAUCUGAACUGUUCAGCCUCUGCUUCCCCACUUUGGACCUUGUGCUGACCUCAUUACUCACUGAGUGUUCCCAGGUGCUCAAUGGCUAAAAAGUCACCUGAAGCUCUGAGAAGAAGCCCGUGGUGGCCAGCCCUGCUCCGCUGAGCUCUGGAGAGUAUAAGAACUGGAAUAGACCAGAACAGACUGUAAGCCGUGAGGACACUUGCUCAACCAGGUGACCUUGAAUGGAAUGUCGACGUAAACUGCUUGCUGAUCUCAUGUGACUGGAUUUCAAGUACAAAUGUCACUAACUCUUUCUGUG